GCACAUACUGUGAGCUCGAUGAGUAGGGCGGGACACGUGGUAUCCUGUCUGAAUAUGGGGGGACCAUCCUCCAAGGCUAAAUACUCCUGACUGACCGAUAGUGAACCAGUACCGUGAGGGAAAGGCGAAAAGAACCCCGGCGAGGGGAGUGAAAAAGAACCUGAAACCGUGUACGUACAAGCAGUGGGAGCACGCUUAGGCGUGUGACUGCGUACCUUUUGUAUAAUGGGUCAGCGACUUAUAUUCUGUAGCAAGGUUAACCGAAUAGGGGAGCCGAAGGGAAACCGAGUCUUAACUGGGCGUUAAGUUGCAGGGUAUAGACCCGAAACCCGGUGAUCUAGCCAUGGGCAGGUUGAAGGUUGGGUAACACUAACUGGAGGACCGAACCGACUAAUGUUGAAAAAUUAGCGGAUGACUUGUGGCUGGGGGUGAAAGGCCAAUCAAACCGGGAGAUAGCUGGUUCUCCCCGAAAGCUAUUUAGGUAGCGCCUCGUGAAUUCAUCUCCGGGGGUAGAGCACUGUUUCGGCAAGGGGGUCAUCCCGACUUACCAACCCGAUGCAAACUGCGAAUACCGGAGAAUGUUAUCACGGGAGACACACGGCGGGUGCUAACGUCCGUCGUGAAGAGGGAAACAACCCAGACCGCCAGCUAAGGUCCCAAAGUCAUGGUUAAGUGGGAAACGAUGUGGGAAGGCCCAGACAGCCAGGAUGUUGGCUUAGAAGCAGCCAUCAUUUAAAGAAAGCGUAAUAGCUCACUGGUCGAGUCGGCCUGCGCGGAAGAUGUAACGGGGCUAAACCAUGCACCGAAGCUGCGGCAGCGACGCUGAUGCGUUGUUGGGUAGGGGAGCGUUCUGUAAGCCUGUGAAGGUGUGCUGUGAGGCAUGCUGGAGGUAUCAGAAGUGCGAAUGCUGACAUAAGUAACGAUAAAGCGGGUGAAAAGCCCGCUCGCCGGAAGACCAAGGGUUCCUGUCCAACGUUAAUCGGGGCAGGGUGAGUCGACCCCUAAGGCGAGGCCGAAAGGCGUAGUCGAUGGGAAACAGGUUAAUAUUCCUGUACUUGGUGUUACUGCGAAGGGGGGACGGAGAAGGCUAUGUUGGCCGGGCGACGGUUGUCCCGGUUUAAGCGUGUAGGCUGGUUUUCCAGGCAAAUCCGGAAAAUCAAGGCUGAGGCGUGAUGACGAGGCACUACGGUGCUGAAGCAACAAAUGCCCUGCUUCCAGGAAAAGCCUCUAAGCAUCAGGUAACAUCAAAUCGUACCCCAAACCGACACAGGUGGUCAGGUAGAGAAUACCAAGGCGCUUGAGAGAACUCGGGUGAAGGAACUAGGCAAAAUGGUGCCGUAACUUCGGGAGAAGGCACGCUGAUAUGUAGGUGAAGCGACUUGCUCGUGGAGCUGAAAUCAGUCGAAGAUACCAGCUGGCUGCAACUGUUUAUUAAAAACACAGCACUGUGCAAACACGAAAGUGGACGUAUACGGUGUGACGCCUGCCCGGUGCCGGAAGGUUAAUUGAUGGGGUCAGCGCAAGCGAAGCUCUUGAUCGAAGCCCCGGUAAACGGCGGCCGUAACUAUAACGGUCCUAAGGUAGCGAAAUUCCUUGUCGGGUAAGUUCCGACCUGCACGAAUGGCGUAAUGAUGGCCAGGCUGUCUCCACCCGAGACUCAGUGAAAUUGAACUCGCUGUGAAGAUGCAGUGUACCCGCGGCAAGACGGAAAGACCCCGUGAACCUUUACUAUAGCUUGACACUGAACAUUGAGCCUUGAUGUGUAGGAUAGGUGGGAGGCUUUGAAGUGUGG
rnacentral:rRNA from 1 species